rnacentral:rRNA from 1 species
AGUGAACGCUGGCGGUAGGCCUAACACAUGCAAGUCGAACGGCAGCACAGUAAGAGCUUGCUCUUACGGGUGGCGAGUGGCGGACGGGUGAGGAAUACAUCGGAAUCUACUUUUUCGUGGGGGAUAACGUAGGGAAACUUACGCUAAUACCGCAUACGACCUACGGGUGAAAGCAGGGGAUCUUCGGACCUUGCGCGAUUGAAUGAGCCGAUGUCGGAUUAGCUAGUUGGCGGGGUAAAGGCCCACCGAGGCGACGAUCCGUAGCUGGUCUGAGAGGAUGAUCAGCCACACUGGAACUGAGACACGGUCCAGACUCCUACGGGAGGCAGCAGUGGGGAAUAUUGGACAAUGGGCGCAAGCCUGAUCCAGCCAUACCGCGUGGGUGAAGAAGGCCUUCGGGUUGUAAAGCCCUUUUGUUGGGAAAGAAAAGCAGCAGGUUAAUACCCCGCUGUUCUGACGGUACCCAGAGAAUAAGCACCGGCUAACUUCGUG